AUGUUUGACGUCAGCCUCAGGGGAGGUUUCCUGCAGCUGUCCAAAUGGUCAGAUCCAACCCAGCUGCUAUACCUGUUCAAACUACUGCGCACAUGGACAGUGUUCAGUAGACAAUCGCACACUGCUGCCACAGUGCACGUGUGCUGUUGGAUGGAGGG